rnacentral:piRNA from 1 species
UAUUUAUUUGCCUGGGGUGCAACUUCUGC